UCCUGCCCUGCCUGUCUCUCCCCUCGGGCAAAGCCCCAACCUCCCUCCGGGGUCUCUUCGAAAGGACUGCCAGGGACGCACCUACCGCACCUACCGCACGACACACCUGGCAGCUGGAGACCCCGAGGAAAUCCUAGCCAAGACUGUUUCUCAUCUCAGCUGUCGCAGCGGCUCACUCUGCAGCCGAGACCACUCAUGGAAGGAGGAUUUUGUUCCUUCCAAGGCCACUACUGUGUUUUAUUUGUUGUCAAUGGGCAUGUUUUUAUGGCUCUGCUUUACCUGCCGCACAUUGUCCUCUCAGAUUAAAAUAAUAACACCUUUAGUUAAUAACACCUUGCACUUGGGAGUCGCUUUCAUCCCAACAGCUCAAAGCCCUCUACAAACAUGACCUCAUUCAUUCUCCCUGCACUGCACUCCCGGAACGGGCGCUCCCAGGUUAUCCAGCCCAGGAGGAUGAAGCCCAACCAGAUUCCCAGAAGCCAAAUGAUCGAUUAAGCAUUUCCGCCUCGCAGCCGCAAAUCACUCAGCCCAGAGCGACCUCAGGCCCACCGGAGAGAACCGUAGCCCCUUAACCCGCGUCUCUCUCUGGCUUGGGGGUCUUGCCUUCCACGCCUCUCCCAGGUGCCUGUAGCUGCGCCCUGCAGAUGGUAAACAUUAAACAACCCUUCAGGAUAGAUUGCCUCAGUUCCAGGAGGCAAGAGGUUUGGCAAUUUGGGCACUUUCAGGCCCCUGGUCUCCCUUGAGAACUCCUGACUUAAGACCUAAGGGCUCCUGCGGGCUGAAUGCCUCUGCCCAGGUACAUGCUGCCACUCACGGCCCUGGCAUGUUUGGCAUCUGUACGGACCUGUGAAAACGAGCCCCACAAUGACAGUACUUCCUUGUUCUAGGGCUGCUUGUGGCCUGAGCGCCCUGGCGACGGAAGCUGCUGGCUGCCCACUUUUGUUUUCACCUUGCAAUUACUGGAGGGAAGAGCUGAGCGCUGGACUUGACUCUCCGGCCGGCCGCACUCCGGGUCUCAGCCCCGGUACCCUGUGGGAGGCCAAGUGUAAUUACAGCAAGAGAAACAGGUCUCAGCAGGCAAAAAGCUGACUCCUGUCCCUUCAACACAAACAAAAACAAAAGACUAACUGGGAAAAAUUCAUUAUAGUGCCUCAGGCUGUUUUUCAUCAGUAAUAAACAUUGGGUGUCACUCUUUCCCACUUCA